GACAGAGGGUGCAAACGUUGUUCGGAAUUACUGGGCGUAAAGCGCGUGUAGGCGGCCAUCUAAGUCGGGCGUGAAAUCCCACGGCUCAACCGUGGAAGUGCACUCGAAACUGGAUGGCUAGAGUCCUGGAGAGGAAGGUGGAAUGCUUGGUGUAGAGGUGAAAUUCGUAGAUAUCAAGCGGAACACCGGUGGCGAAGGCGGCCUUCUGGACAGUGACUGACGCUGAGACGCGAAAGCGGUGGGGAGCAAACAGG
rnacentral:rRNA from 1 species